UAUAUAAGUCGCGUUAUUUUGGCAACGUCGAUAUUUUUUGAAGGGUGUUUGCUGUGUUGGAAGUUAUGUGAUGAUGAUGUUCCUCGUGGAAAAUCUUUCAAUAGAAAAACAAUCAUUUCAUUUUUUACAACUCCACAUCUCUAAAAUGAAGAUUACGUGAAAAUUGAAGAUUUGCUGUUAAAAAAAGAGAUGGCUUCUUGAUUCUUUUAGAUUGUUCGCGAAGAGAACUCCAUGGGAAAAAAAUGAAUACUAGCCUAGUUUAUUGAAAAUGUGGAAAAAUCAAGUUGUAUUAUUAAAACUCUUAGGUCGCGACUUAUAAAUGUUCUCUUUACUUUUCUUUUUAUAAUUGUAAUCCCUGGCGAUGUCAAUGUAUUCCCUUGGGUAUAUGUAUUCCAAAAACAGCAACAGGAGAUAACACAAAGAGACUGCCAAUAAAAAUGGCCAAACACCACUUGUUUUGUAACUAAAAUAAAAACAUAAAA